rnacentral:tRNA from 1 species
UAGAAUUUGAUUUAAUUAUAUAUUAAAAUUAAAUAUUUAAAUAAAUAAUAAAAUUAGUUUUUAAUUUCAAUAAAAAUAAACAUAACUUAGAAAUAAUACAAUUUUUAACGUAGAAAAUUUAGUAAUAUAUACAUAACUAAAUAAUUGUAUUUAAGUAUUUAAAUUUUUGAUUUUAAUUUUUUUAAAAUUAAAUCUAUAAUGAUUUAAUAUUUUUAAGAUUUAUUAUAAAUGAAACGUUUAAAAUUUUUA